AUACUUGCCUGGCAGGGGAGAUAUCAUGAUCACGUAGGUGGUUUUCCCAGGGUGAGCCUUAUCCAUUGCACUGUGCUGACCCCUGCGAUUUCCCCAGAUAUGGGAAACUCAGCUGCACAAUUUGUGGUAGUGGGGGACUGUGUUUGUACUCUCCCCUA
rnacentral:snRNA from 1 species